rnacentral:rRNA from 1 species
UACGUAGGUCCCGAGCGUUGUCCGGAUUUAUUGGGCGUAAAGCGAGCGCAGGUGGUUUAUUAAGUCUGGUGUAAAAGGCAGUGGCUCAACCAUUGUAUGCAUUGGAAACUGGUAGACUUGAGCGCAGGAGAGGAGAGUGGAAUUCCAUGUGUAGCGGUGAGAUGCGUAGAUAUAUGGAGGAACACCGGUGGCGAAAGCGGCUCUCUGGCCUGUAACUGACACUGAGGCUCGAAAGCGUGGGGAGCAAACAGG